AUUGAACGCUAGCGGCGUGCCUAAUACAUGCAAGUCGAACGCAGUUGCGAACGGGUGAGUACCGCGUAGGUACCUGCCUCAUGGCGAGGGAUAACUAUUGGAAACGAUAGCUAAUACCGCAUACUGUGAGAUGGACCUGCGUUGUAUUAGCUAGUUGGUGAGGUAAAGGCCCACCAAGGCGACGAUACAUAGCCGACCUGGGAGGGUGAUCUGCCAACCGUGGAUGGCGACCCGGCCCAGGAUCCCUCCGGAGGCAGCAGUAGGGAAUCUUCGGCAAUGGACGGAAGUCUGACCGAGCAACGCCGCUGGAGUGAAGAAGGUUUUCUGAUCGGAAAGCUCUUUUGUUAGAGAAGCGGUAACUAACCAGAAAGGGACGGCUAACUACGUGCCAACAGCCGCGGUAAUUC
rnacentral:rRNA from 1 species